rnacentral:rRNA from 1 species
GAUGAACGCUGGCGGCGUGCCUAAUACAUGCAAGUCGAGCGAACGGACGAGAAGCUUGCUUCUCUGAUGUUAGCGGCGGACGGGUGAGUAACACGUGGAUAACCUACCUAUAAGACUGGGAUAACUUCGGGAAACCGGAGCUAAUACCGGAUAAUAUUUUGAACCGCAUGGUUCAAAAGUGAAAGACGGUCUUGCUGUCACUUAUAGAUGGAUCCGCGCUGCAUUAGCUAGUUGGUAAGGUAACGGCUUACCAAGGCAACGAUGCAUAGCCGACCUGAGAGGGUGAUCGGCCACACUGGAACUGAGACACGGUCCAGACUCCUACGGGAGGCAGCAGUAGGGGAUCUUCCGCAAUGGGCGAAAGCCUGACGGAGCAACGCCGCGUGAGUGAUGAAGGUCUUCGGAUCGUAAAACUCUGUUAUUAGGGAAGAACAUAUGUGUAAGUAACUGUGCACAUCUUGACGGUACCUAAUCAGAAAGCCACGGCUAACUACGUGCCAGCAGCCGCGGUAAUACGUAGGUGGCAAGCGUUAUCCGGAAUUAUUGGGCGUAAAGCGCGCGUAGGCGGUUUUUUAAGUCUGAUGUGAAAGCCCACGGCUCAACCGUGGAGGGUCAUUGGAAACUGGAAAACUUGAGUGCAGAAGAGGAAAGUGGAAUUCCAUGUGUAGCGGUGAAAUGCGCAGAGAUAUGGAGGAACACCAGUGGCGAAGGCGACUUUCUGGUCUGUAACUGACGCUGAUGUGCGAAAGCGUGGGGAUCAAACAGGAUUAGAUACCCUGGUAGUCCACGCCGUAAACGAUGAGUGCUAAGUGUUAGGGGGUUUCCGCCCCUUAGUGCUGCAGCUAACGCAUUAAGCACUCCGCCUGGGGAGUACGACCGCAAGGUUGAAACUCAAAGGAAUUGACGGGGACCCGCACAAGCGGUGGAGCAUGUGGUUUAAUUCGAAGCAACGCGAAGAACCUUACCAAAUCUUGACAUCCUUUGACAACUCUAGAGAUAGAGCUUUCCCCUUCGGGGGACAAAGUGACAGGUGGUGCAUGGUUGUCGUCAGCUCGUGUCGUGAGAUGUUGGGUUAAGUCCCGCAACGAGCGCAACCCUUAAGCUUAGUUGCCAUCAUUAAGUUGGGCACUCUAAGUUGACUGCCGGUGACAAACCGGAGGAAGGUGGGGAUGACGUCAAAUCAUCAUGCCCCUUAUGAUUUGGGCUACACACGUGCUACAAUGGACAAUACAAAGGGCAGCGAAACCGCGAGGUCAAGCAAAUCCCAUAAAGUUGUUCUCAGUUCGGAUUGUAGUCUGCAACUCGACUACAUGAAGCUGGAAUCGCUAGUAAUCGUAGAUCAGCAUGCUACGGUGAAUACGUUCCCGGGUCU